rnacentral:rRNA from 1 species
GCGGGAAAAGCUCAAAUUUAAAAUCUGGCGGUCUUUGGCUGUCCGAGUUGUAAUCUAGAGAAGUGUUAUCCGCGCUGGACCGUGUACAAGUCUCCUGGAAUGGAGCGUCAUAGAGGGUGAGAAUCCCGUCUUUGACACGGACUGCCAGGGCUUUGUGAUGCGCUCUCAAAGAGUCGAGUUGUUUGGGAAUGCAGCUCAAAAUGGGUGGUAAAUUCCAUCUAAAGCUAAAUAUUGGCGAGAGACCGAUAGCGAACAAGUACCGUGAGGGAAAGAUGAAAAGAACUUUGGAAAGAGAGUUAAACAGUACGUGAAAUUGCUGAAAGGGAAACGCUUGAAGUCAGUCGCGUUGUCCAGGGAUCAACCUUGCUUUUGCUUGGUGUACUUUCUGGUUGACGGGUCAGCAUCAAUUUUGACUAUUGGAAAAAGAUCAGGGGAAUGUGGCAUCUUUGGAUGUGUUAUAGCCCUUGGUUGUAUACAAUGGUUGGGAUUGAGGAACUCAGCACGCCGCAAGGCCGGGUUUUUAAACCACGUACGUGCUUAGGAUGCUGGCAUAAUGGCUUUAAUCGACCCGUCUUGAAAACACGGACCAAGGAGUCUAACAUGCCUGCGAGUGUUUGGGUGGAAAACCCGAGCGCGCAAUGAAAGUGAAAGUUGAGAUCCCUGUCGUGGGGAGCAUCGACGCCCGGACCAGACCUUUUGUGACGGUUCCGCGGUAGAGCAUGUAUGUUGGGACCCGAAAGAUGGUGAACUAUGCCUGAAUAGGGUGAAGCCAGAGGAAACUCUGGUGGAGGCUCGUAGCGAUUCUGACGUGCAAAUCGAUCGUCAAAUUUGGGUAUAG